CAGGCGUCCAGUCCAUGUUUGCUGCGUCCUCACGGAGGUUUACAAGAUCCAUGCCAUUAAAAUUGCGCCGCAGAAGAAUUCUUGCCUUUGCUUUGGGAGGACGAAUUUUAUAAGAAAUAUAGAUAAGAUCAUGGUAAGAGAAUGCAUCAGCCGAACACUGACCAUGCUUAGCGACGUGAUCAGAAGAAGAUACAAAGAUUAAGUCAAGAAGGGAGGGGGUAGAAUGAGGGAAAUGGUGUGUUGCAUUAAGAGGAAGUAUUGAUAGAUUGCAAGAGUUAAUUAUAGAAUUAAGAGAUGCAGAUCGAGAAUCAUUUUUAAGGAGACAGGUGUUGAAAUCACCCAUGAUAAUGACGUGACUGUAAGAAGUUAUAAAAUUUUCUAGAAUUUGUUCAAAAGAGGAAAAGAAGUUAAUGCGUAGUGAGGGACAGUAAUAGACUCCAAGUAGAACUUUAGUGUGGCACAUCGUAAGUUCCAGAAAAAGAUGCUCCCCGGCGUUUGGAGGAGGUGGCUGCGCUGACAUAUCUACGAUUUUAAAGGAAAUAUAUGAGCGGAGAUAUAUGGCAACACCACCACCGCCUCCACCCGUGCGGUCAUUUCUUACCAACUGAUAACCUGGUAGUGAGUAAGCCGUUGUCGGGAGACAAGGCUUAAGCCACGACUCGGAGACAAGAAUUGCAUGAACAUUCUUACAGUCAAAACUUGCCAGCAUAUCAGGGAAAUGUGCCGGAAUGCUCUGAGCGUUUAUGUGUACUACAUUAAAAUUCCUAGAAACAUCAGAAAACUGCGCAAUUAGCGUGUCUGAAAGUGAUGGCAAGCUAGUAAAACUGUCAUCGCUACUAUUGGCUGAAAAGAAAGUGUCCAAUUCGCUGCUAUUGUCAUGAGAAGACAUUAGAUGUUAAACAAAUAAUGUAUAAAAUAGAAAUAUAUAAAUAUAAUAAAAAUAAUAAACAACUAACAAGGGGACAGAUAAACAGUCCACCUGCCGGCUGUGCUAGGUAGGCAUAAUCACAUAAAUACACACACAAAACUUAAAACUAAAAAUAACACUAAUAGUAUAAUGCACAUUCUUGGUCCGGGUAUUAUGUCGCAGAAAUAUGCAACCGAGAAUAACAGCUGUAAAUUGACAAGUAUUACAUAUGACAGUUGAUAUCACGAGAAUACCUGUCGCCCAGCGAAGUGUGACAGCUACUGUUCGCUGUCAAUCUGAUAGUUACGACUAACACUACCCACUUGUUUAUUUAUAUUUUUGAAGAAAAGACAUAAAGAAAGAGAUUAAAAUAACUGACAAUAAUUGGAAAGAAGGAACCUACAAAGCAAUAUGAAAAGCAGCCACACGUUUGGGCCUGCUUGUGAUGACCGGCUUCUUUUGAGCGUCGACAGUCGCAGGUUCUUUCGGGGACUCUGUGGUAUCUCGCGGCAGUAACGCACUCAAUUCUGAAGCAGUUGUAAUGCGAUGCCGUGACCCAUCGGGUGCAAGUACAUAAACGCACCCGUCUCUUGUCCAGCACUUAGUCACCCCAAGCCUCUUUCGUGCAGUCAUGAAGAGGUCAUGCCUCGACUUGGUCAGGAACUCCGAAAUAGUGAUACCGACACCUUUUAAUUGGGUUUUGUUAAACCAUAUAUUAUUACACACAGCAACAUCCCGGAGCUUAAAUAAGAUAGGCCGUGAUCCUGAGGCAGUAGUUGACCGACCCAUCCGGUGACUCCUCUUAAUGUCAGCUAACGUGAAAUCAGACAUCUUCAAGCGGUCCUUGACAACAUCCACCACUACCUGUGCCACAUCUUCAUUUUUCACCUCCGGGACACCGUGCAGCAACAAGAUACCUCGCCGACCGCGCAUCUCCAUGGAGUCAAUGCUUUUUGCAAGCAAUUCCACCUGUUGCUGCAAGCUAGUGACGGCCUGAGUUAUGAAGAGUCUGAAGGUUGAAAACUCGGCAGCCAAGUUUGAGUUGGAUGGUUCUGCUGGUGCUUUCUGCAACUGUGCUUCAAACUCUGCCAUCCUCUUAUUAAAGAUGUCCAUGAGACCAGUGACAGUGUUGGUGAUGGGAUCCAUUUGUGGUGUAAUAUAUGGAUAGAUGACAGUUAUGUGAAGAAAUUAGUUUUGCGUUGUAAAUAGUGAGAAUGAAGAAAAAGAAAGGAGAAAACACUUGCCAGCAGGUAGCUCGAUUUAAGCUGUUGUUCUGUACAUUAAUUUACACUGUGUCUUCAGUAAAUAUAUUUUAAUUUAAAUUUUA